GUCUCGUUGGUGUAGUUGGUUAUCACGUGGGUCUCAUAUGUUAGUGUUUCAUGAAUAUGACUGCUAGUUUUCUAGCGGAUAUCCCAAGGCCGCCAGUUCGAGUCUGGCACGGGACA